CCCGACUGCUAUUUGGGUGAGGAUAAACCAUGCGAGUUGAAUGGGAUACCUAAAUAUCCCAUAGCAAACUGCUCAGUAACACAUGAUCAACUUACCCUAUGGAGAAAAAUAACCUCGGGAAACUGAGGAUAAUGUUUCAUGGUUGAAUAGGCUUGGAAAAGUUUUCCAAUGAAAGGGAUAAGAAAAAUGGUUCUUAUUUGCCAUAGGAUAGGAUCGUGGUCGAUUAUGGUUGUUGGUGAGGUAACGGCUCACCAAGCCGAUAAUCGAUAGGGGCCGUGAGAGCGGGAGCCCCGAGAUGGGUACUGAGACAACGACCCAGGCCUUACGAGGCGCAGCAGGUGCGGAACCUCCGCAAUACACGAAAGUGUGACGGGGUUACCCAAAGUGUUCACUAUUGAACUGUGGUAGGUGAGUAAUGUCCCCUACUAGAAAGGAGAGGGCAAGGCUGGUGCCAGCCGCCGCGGUAAAACCAGCCCUUCAAGUGGUCGGGAUGAUAUUGGGCUUAAAGUGUCCGUAGCCGGUUUAGUAAGUUCCUGGUAAAAUCGGGUAGCUUAACUAUCCGUAUGCUAGGAAUACUGCUAUACUAGAGGGCGGGAGAGGUCUGAGGUACUAUAGGGGUAGGGGUGAAAUCCUAUAAUCCUUAUAGGACCACCAGUGGCGAAGGCGUCAGACUGGACGCGCCUGACGGUGAGGGACGAAAGCCAGGGAGCGAACCGGAUUAGAUACCCGGGUAGUCCUGGCCGUAGACGAUGCAUACUAGGUGAUGGCACGGCCAUGAGCCGUGUCAGUGCCGUAGGGAAACCGUUAAGUGUGCCGCCUGGGAAGUACGGUCGCAAGGCUAAAACUUAAAGGAAUUGGCGGGGGAGCACCACAGGGGGUGAAGCCUGCGGUUCA
rnacentral:rRNA from 1 species